rnacentral:rRNA from 1 species
UACGUAGGGUGCAAGCGUUGUCCGGAAUUAUUGGGCGUAAAGAGCUCGUAGGCGGCUUGUUGCGUCGACCGUGAAAACCCGGGGCUCAACUUCGGGCUUGCGGUCGAUACGGGCGGGCUAGAGUUCGGUAGGGGAGACUGGAAUUCCUGGUGUAGGCGGUGAAAUGCGUAGAUAUCGGGAGGAACACCCGUGGCGAAGGCGGCCGAGCUGGGAUCACACCUGACGGCUAGACGACGA